CUNNUACGGGAGGCAGCAGUGGGGAAUAUUGGACAAUGGACCAAAAGUCUGAUCCAGCAAUUCUGUGUGCACGAUGACGGUCUUCGGAUUGUAAAGUGCUUUCAGUUGGGAAGAAAGAAAUGACGGUACCAACAGAAGAAGCGACGGCUAAAUACGUGCCAGCAGCCGCGGUAAUACGUAUGUCGCAAGCGUUAUCCGGAUUUAUUGGGCGUAAAGCGCGUCUAGGUGGUUUGAUAAGUUUGAUGUGAAAAUGCGGGGCUCAACUCCGUAUUGCGUUGGAAACUGUCAAACUAGAGUAUCGGAGAGGUGGGCGGAACUACAAGUGUAGAGGUGAAAUUCGUAGAUAUUUGUAGGAAUGCCGAUAGAGAAGUCAGCUCACUGGACGAAUACUGACACUGAAGCGCGAAAGCAUGGGGAGCAAACAGGAUUAGAUACCCUGGUAGUCCAUGCCGUAAACGAUGANNNNUAAGCGUCGGGGGUCGAACCUCGGCACUCAAGC
rnacentral:rRNA from 1 species